GAAGAUCUUUUGAGCUUUGAUAAAGCUUAUCAACAGCUGUUUUGCGACCAAGCGGCAACGCUUUGAUAUGCAAUUUUUCUGCCAUGCACUAUAUUUUAUUAAAUAUUGCUGUGUCUGGAUUCUGUAUAACAGAAGAAGACCAUAGAAAGUGUGGAAAAAACGUGGGUUGCUGUACUUAGUCGUCCCAGCCUCUUUCUUUUUCUCCUCGUGACCGUCAGAGUGACCGGUAGUGGAAAAAGAAGUCUUGUAGAGCUGACCCAGUUCUCUAAACCAAGGUCAAGUCAAAGUCAAAGCCUAGUGCAAGUGCCAAGUGCGGCUCAAAGUGAUCAUUUAAUUUGAGUCGACGCGCCAGUUAUAUAUUGCCAAUACUGUGGCAGCCGUUCGACCAUUUGGAAAACGAGCGCCCACAGUGUACUAAAAUUUUUCGAAAUAGUGGUGCAAUUCUGUUGAGGAUUAGCACCACUAGUAUCUACGUAUUGAAACGCUGGUCUAGAAGUUACGGAUUGGUUAUUCCCGGAGACCUCUAUUGGCCACGUGCCCGUGCCACCGGUUAAACCCCCACCGUUUGAAAUUCGGAUGAGGCGGUAGCCGAGGGCAUGGACUUGCUCCUCCAGUAAACCCGAUCGGUGGGCUCUGCAAGCGUCGCCGGGACCCGUUCGACCCAUGGGGAUGAUCUGACUGACUCUUCAAAUACCCCAGUCGCCUCACGAGCCAUCAAGUGUGCGGGUGUACCUAACCUCACGCCGCAGAUGGACCGCGGUCAUUGACCCUUGGCAUCGGAAGCAGCUGAAGUAACCUGCGCCCGGUACAAUCGUGUGCCACCUUCAGACCUCGAGUAGGAACUCGGUCUCCAGCCCGGAAGCAUCGACCCCGCCUCGGAUUUAGUUAUAUUUUCUAUCUUUCUUUCGACAUUAGACCCGAUAUGCGAAACCCUGUUUUUUUAUCCGCUUUCUGUUUAACUACGUUCUUUUGAUACGGAAAAAAUUUGCAACAUCCAAUUAAAUGCGGUAUAAACAAAAAGGGAAUUCCUAUCCAUGGGCUAAAUCGAACUUGAACAAAUGAGUAGUGUAUUAAUACCGAUUAUUUUUACAGUUUUUUGAUUUUGGUUGCCACGCAUUCAUCUCAUCAUCUAUGCAGAUACUCAUCACAAUCACACACAUCAUCAUACUCCUCCACCCAUCAAAUCAUCUCAUCCAACACACAACGAAAGAUCUUUCUGCGUGGGAGUCAAAGCUAUUAAUCGUAUCGUAAGUGAUUAUCCUGAUCCAAGUAAGCCAUCUGAAAAGAAUGAUUUUCCAUAUACCCUAUUUUUGUCUGGUUUUGGCACUGACCAAGUUUACGUAAUGAAGUUUGAAGUUUUCUUGUUCCUAUGAUGAACACAUAACCUAGCUCGUGCAUUUAUAUAUACCUACUACUAAUCAUUAUUAUAGAUUUAAGAUCAUUAUACCCUACCUCGCCCCUAUGAUAUUCUUUCCCCAGUAUAUGCUGUAUAGUAAUACCCUAUAAAUGUAAGACAAUAUCGAAUAGCAGGCUUAUAUUCGGGACUAAAUUCUAUUAGCGUUAGGUUUUAUAGGGAUUUAAAUGAAUAACUAUGGAUUGCUUAAAUAAAGUUAGUUUGGAAAUGAA